UCACAUUUCCCAAUUAACAGGAAGGCGAGCUGGGUGUUGGAGUCGGCCCUGGUCAUAUCAAGCUCUCUCUUGGUUCCUUCCCAAUCAAACUUUCUUUCUUUUGGUGCUCCUCCUAUACCCUUUGAUCGCUUUCCAAACGUUUCGGGCUUCUAAGGCACGCCACUGGUCCUCUGGUUCAAGGGUUUCCACCAGAGAGUUUCUACUGAGAGAGAGAGAGAGAGAGAGAGAGAGAGAGCAGGGGAGGUGCUGGCCAGGAGGGUCCCCCUCCGGUCUACCCCUCUUCUGUGUGUUAAAAAAUAAUGUGUUAGUCAUUUUAUUGAUCUUUUUAAGAAAUAAUUUGAUGGCGUUACAUGCUACCUCGGCAAUUUGUAACGGCCAACUAAAGGGGGACUAUUUUAUCUUGCGGAAUGAACAUUCAAGGACCAUUGUGUUGGCAAAACUCUUUUGGGGACUAAAGUGAUGGCCGACAAAUCUUUUGAGGACCAAACUGACAGUUUGCUCUAAUAUCUUCUUCACUCUUAGGUACAUUAUCGCGAGCACAAAAAUUUGCCAUGGGCUCUACAACUACAACUAGCUUCAUCCUGUUAGGACGGGUUGCAUGCUGUCUAUGGUGGAGAAGAGCAAAACAACACGUUAUAUAUUGUGACUGAGUUAUGACAAAGAAAUACGUGCAUAAUGGUUUGUAGUAUUAUCUACUUGGCUUUGCUAUUGUUGCUUUAUGGAUGUAACUUCCUAUGUUUCUACAAGGAACUUAUUUUUAAGCCAUCAUUUUGCAAAUAUAUCCCAUCUCUAGGAACCUUAUUCAGGAUUCCAGGGCUCGUUUAUUCAUCAGAUGGGAUUGACACCCAAGGAGGUGCACCCCAGAUCUUCAACUUUCAUAACAUAUAAGCUGCUACGAAUAAUUUCGGCAUCAUCAAUAAACUUGGGCAAGGCGGUUUUGGUCCCGUCUACAAGUUAUAGUGCAAUUGUUUGCUAUCAAAAGUAGAAAUAAAUAGCAGAAACGUCAAAUCAUCUGUUGAUAACACUAAAUCUGUUAUUUUGGGAAAGUUGCAGGAUGGGAAGGAUGUCGUAGUAAAAAGACUUUCUAGCAGCUCGGGGCAAGGCACGGAGGAGUUCAAGAAUGAGAUCAUGUUAAUAUCGAAGCUUCAACAUAGAAACCUUGUCAAGCUUUUGGGUUACUGCAUUGAAGGAGACGAAAAGAUUUUAGUAUAGGAGUACUUGUCAAACAAAAGUUUGGAUACUUUCCUCUAUGAUUCAAAGAGGAAGGCAGAGCUCAACUGGGAAACACGCCUUCACAUCAUCAAGGGUGUUGCAAGGGGCCUUCUUUAUCUACACUGUGAUUCUUGCCUGCGAGUCAUACACAGAUCUGAAAGCAAGCAACAUUCUCCUUGAUGGAAACAUUAAUCCGAGUAUUUCAGACUUUGGGUUGGUGCGCAUGUUUCAUAGUACAAAAGAUCUAGUGAACACUCGGAGGGUUGUGGGAACGCUGUAAGGAUGACUUUGGUCUUCCCAUGAACCUAGUAACAAGUUACAUAUCACAGUAUGAGUGACUUUUCUUGAAAUACAGGGGAUAUAUGGCUCCUGAGUAUGCUAUGGGUGGGAUAUUUUCUGAGAAGUCCGAUGUCUACAGCUUCGGAGUUUUGCUGUUACAGAUUGUUAGCAGCUGCAAGAACAUGAGCUUUUACUACCUCGGCGAGCACCUCAACUUCCUGCUUACGCAUGGAAAUUUUCGGAGGAAGUUAGGGGACUGGAGUUGAUCAAUGAAGCAAUACUGGUGGAUUCUGCCUUAUUAUCAUUAGAGGUAAUGAAGAAAAUGCAUACAGAUUGGGCUUCUAUUCGUCCAGUACCAUGCUGCAGAUAGACCAAACAUGUCCUCAGUUGUUUCUGAUGCUGAGGGGUGAAUCUGAUCCUGCACAACCGAAAGAUCCCAUGUUUACCUUUCAAAGCACCCCUGAACAUAAAAAUCCACUACAACAUGACAGCAUAUUGUCCAUAAACACGGUCACCAACUCCUCACUAGUUGAGGGACGAUAGAUUAUUGGUAAGUUUCGAUUGCCUUUUAUUGGUCUGUAAUUGUCGAACAAACUCGUUUGCUGUAGGGUCAUACAAAAUGGUAAUGCAAGAAUUAUGGCUGACCUAGAAAUAGAAGGAUUCCUGUGCCAUCACUGAUUUUGUAAUUGCAUAUUCCG